CUUCUUGUCUCUUCCCCUCUAGAUGUGGGAGCUAAGAUCAAGCUGGAUCACAUCCUGUAUAAGGUUGGCGUGGGGACGAGGUGUGGUGAAGGAAAGCGUUUCCCUGACGACGGACCUGAGACCUUCUGCUCCUUCCCCUGGGCGGAGAUGGUGGUGGAGGACCUGUGUGGCAACAAGAGGUCCUGCGAGGUCCCCGUCACCGAGCUGGUGUUUGGUGAAUACCCCUGUAAGGAGCAGACCAGAUACCUGGAGGUGUCCUAUACCUGCGCCACCCCUCCUCCACCACCUCCUCCUCCAACCAAACCUGACUGUGAAGAUAAAUCAGCUGAUGAAGUCUGAUGAAAGAGGAGAUCAAAACUCACGAGUCAAAAUGUUUGAAACAAAUCUUUACUCCAGAAGGAUUUAACAUUAAUAAAAUCAUCAUCUUCU